UAAUACGGAGGAUCCGAGCGUUAUCCGGAUUUAUUGGGUUUAAAGGGAGCGUAGGCGGAUAUUUAAGUCAGUUGUGAAAGUUUGCGGCUCAACCGUAAAAUUGCAGUUGAUACUGGAUAUCUUGAGUGCAGUAAAGGUGGGCGGAAUUCGUGGUGUAGCGGUGAAAUGCUUAGAUAUCACGAAGAACUCCGAUUGCGAAGGCAGCUCACUGGAGUGUAACUGACGCUGAUGCUCGAAAGUGUGGGUAUCAAACAGG
rnacentral:rRNA from 1 species